rnacentral:sRNA from 1 species
CGCGGGGCAUAAACACAACACACACAUUCCGACACGCCGCUCCUGGGUGCCGCAUUGCGGUUGGACGGUGGGGUAUGUGGAGGUUUGAA